GUGUAUUUGUUCGUUAGAUUAACCCUAACGGUUGUGAGUCGUAGUGAUUUCCUCCUUCUGGAUAGGUUAGCAAAGGAUUUUGCUCGGUUGCCGCCCUGAGGGGCUGAUCCCAACUUACCGACGGAGAUCCUAACAGGAAAACAAGAAUAUUUCAGGAUUGAAAGACGUGGCAGCGUGAUGGGAUGUCGCGAGACGAGUGAAGAAUAUUUUAUCGAACCAUUGAGACAGAUAUACGACAGAUCAAAAAUUUGACGUCACUUUGUACCAUCUACGUCUUGUUAUCUGAUCUAUGAUUCUUUCUUUUAGUCUUGUCAAAAGGUGGCAUAACAAAAAUGAAAAGAAAAUCUCAGGAAUAUGGAAGUAAUCGAAUUAGCAGACGGAGUAACUUCAAAAUAAAUAUUAAAAUGCUGGAACGCGAGAAAUUGCCGACGGAUGGUAAGGUUCCGGCGGGAACAGUAAGAGUUUGGAAAUCUUCCGAAUUUUAAAGAACUUGCUCGACACUGUUAAGAAUUUGUGCAAGAAGCGAAGUGAAAGUUAGAAAAGUACGAUAACAAGAUUAGAAAAAAGAACAAGCUGCUUGGAACUUCGUUCGUUUACGUAGGAAAGCGACGAGAAAGGAUCAUGCGCAACGAUCGGAAACGCGUCUCUCAGAUUUCAAAUUCACCACUUCCCAUCCGUCUAUAACAUCUCGUCACGCGGACGUUGAAAGUGAAAGAUGUGACGCCUGAUCAGACCAAAGGAUUCGCUUUUCAUACCGGAGGAUGUUGAAGCUCGUGAAAGAUUCACGACACGUCCAAGAUUCUCUCGAUGCGUCACAUUAAGCGAGUUAUAAGGAUAUAUCCGAAGCGGUGCUAUCAAUAUCACGACGGCAGGAAGUCAGGAGAAAUCACUGUUACGCCUGAUCACUUCCGCUUUGACGAUAAAACAGAAAACGCGCGAUUUUCAAAUUCCAUUGAAUGAUACAAAUGAAGUGGAGAGAGAGAUUUGUUAUGCAGAUAAGAAAUAUUUCAUCUAGAAAUUGCGAAAGUAGCGAAAUUUAUAUAUUUAAUGAUCAAUAAAAAAAUUAGAACAUGCAACUUUUUAAUUUCAAGCUUCGGAAGAUCAUAAGACAUUCUCUGUUAAUUUUAUUAAAUGAAAUUGACAAAUAGAAUUACCGCAAGACGAAGCAAAAUUUUACCUGGCGUGUUACAAAAUGUUACAAUUGCUCCAAAUUCAAGAAGACCAACCGAUCUCCAUAUUCCACCAAACCUUACAAGUUUCAAGCGAUAGAAAAUGAUUGCACCAUGGAAUUAAUCGAGCUGGCUAGAUCGUUCCACUUUGUUCAAUUGAAUGUAGACCCUCAGGAGCUGGUAAGAGCAACGGUUGUUGGUCCAGCAGAGCAACACCAGCCUGUUCACCCUCUGGUAGCUUCUAUUCUGUGCUACAUCCCAUUGAUGACACCAUGGACAAGGGUGGCAGAAUGUCGCGUGGCGACACGUUUCGCUGUUCUGAGUCACAUGUCAUUCCGUAUGAAUUACAACUCCAUUAACGUUCCAGACAACCUGCGAGCAUACAUAAUGCUGGCGAAUUGAGCGGAUCAGCUUCUCAGCCAAGAUGUUGAUUUAUGGGGAACGAUUAUUAUGCCCUGGUCCUUGGACGAACAGAGCCAAUCAUAAAGUGAUUGAAUUUUUAAUCUGUUACUUGGAAAUCUUGUUUUGCAUUCCAAUUUAAGGUAACUUGUUUUUAAGAGAACUGCAGAUUCCUUUCUUCUUUUUGUUUUUAGCUCUAUUCAUUUUUCAUCUUUUCCUCUUCUUCAUCGUGUUUCUCCUUCUUUUAAAUUUUAAUGAAAUCCAUCCUGCGUUGUUUCACGGUUAAAUUUCUAACAAACAGUGUAAAAAAUUCUGCCAAUUCCUCUGUUCAUCUUCUCCUUCCGUUUCUUUCAGAGUUUGAACGACAGAUAAUGUUUGUUG